rnacentral:rRNA from 1 species
GAUGAACGCUGGCGGCGUGCCUAAUACAUGCAAGUCGAUCGAACGGACGAGAAGCUUUCUUCUCUGUUGUUAGCGGCUGUCGUGUGUGUAACACGUGUAUAACCUACCUAUUUGACUGGGAUAACUUCGGGAAACCGGAUCUAAUACCGGAUCAUAUUUUUAUCCGCAUGGUUCAAAAGUGAAUUACUGUCUUUCUGUCACUUUUAUAUUGAUCCGCUCUGCAUUAGCUAGUUGGUAAGUUAACUGCUUACCAAGGCAACGAUGCAUAGCCGACCUGAUAUGGGGAACGGCCAAACGGGAAGUGAGACAAGGUCCAGAGGACUACGGGAGGCAGCAGAAGGGAAUAGUCCGAAAUGGGAGAAAGAAGGAAGGAGAAAAGACGAGGGAGUGAUGAAGGUGUUCGGAUCGUAAAACUCUGUUAUUAGGGAAGAAAAUAAGUGUAAGAAAAUGUGCAAAUAAGGACGGUACCUAAAGAGAAAGCAACGGCUAACUACGUG